GGAUUUAUAGCGGAGGGGGUCGGCGCGCUACGACGAGAUUUGACGGAGAGGGUCGAUGAUCUAGGACGAGAGUUGACAGGGAGGGUCGACGAUAUGGGAUGAGAGUUGAUAGGGAGGGUUGACGAUCUAUCCCAUGACGUUGGAAUACUACAGUCUUCCGUUGUCGACCUUCAGAAUACAGUAGCGGCGUUUAGAGGAGACUACAUUUUCGAAAAGUACUUAUGGACCCAAAACGGACACUGUUUGCAAAAGUUACCCUCAAUUCUUUGAACGUCGACAAUUCAAAUAUGCAAGUGCUCGUUCUUCGAAAAAUGGACGAAAUCCCAAUUACGUCACAACGAAGUCGUGAGUUCAAUCCAAAACGGUCGCUACAUUUUCGAAAAAUACUUAUGGGCCCAAAACGGAUACCGUGUGCAAAAGUUACGCUCAAUUUUUCGAACGCCGACAAUCCAAAUAUUGCAAGUGCUCGUUCCUCGAAAAAUGGUCGAAAUUCCUCAUACGUCAUGAUGAAGCCGUGAGUUCAAUCCAAAACGGUUGCUACAUUUUCGAAAUUUACUUAUGGGCUCAAAACGGACACCGUGUGCUAAAGUUACCCUCAAUUCUUCGAACGCCGACAAUCCAAAUAAGUUCCACUUGGCAUUGUCUUGAACGCUUUCCACUUGGCAUUGUCCACCUCCCUGAAUAAGUUCGGGUGCGUCCCAUCGAUGAACGUCCUCCUCUUGGUCUCAGCCGUGAAGGGGGAAAUAACAUACUGUGACGGCACUCUCAACCUCUUACCGACCACCUGCUCCGUCUCGUCAACAGCAUGUCUCUUACCCUCAAUCACGUCGAGCGUCCUCUCGACCUCUGGGGCCACCUCCUCCGCCCCUCCCAUUGGGGCCUCCCCCUCCCCCUCCCCCUCCGCCGCCGCCACCACCUCCAUCCCUCCCGUCGGGGCCUCCCCCUCUGUCGCCACCUCCUCCGCCCCUUCCAUCGGGGCCACCCCCUCCAUAGACAACCACAAUAACUCCAAUGUCUCAUCACGUCAAAAAUGUGGGUGACCCUCCUCUCCUCACCAUCUCUGCCACUCUCUCGAUCAUGAUCUCCGCCAUCCCCUCUGUCUACCCAUCGUCUGCCGGCUAAAUCUCCUCUAAGCGCCGCUACUGUAUCCUGAAGGUCGACAACGGAAGACUGUAGUAUUCCAACGUCAUGGGAUAGAUCGUCAACCCUCCCUGUCAACUCUCGUCCCAUAUCGUCGACCCUUCCUGUCAGAUAGUCGACCUUCCCUGCCAGAUCGUCG
rnacentral:lncRNA from 1 species